UGAUCAGUGGCGAACGGGUGAGUAACACGUGAGCAACCUACCCUUGACUCCGGGAUAACAGCUGGAAACAGCCGCUAAUACCGGAUACGACCUCGACCGACAUCGGUUGAGGUGGAAAGUUCUGGCGGUCAAGGAUGGGCUCGCGGCCUAUCAGCUAGUUGGUGAGGUAACGGCUCACCAAGGCUUUGACGGGUAGCCGGCCUGAGAGGGUGACCGGCCACAUUGGGACUGAGAUACGGGCCCAGACUCCUACGGGAGGCAGCAGUGGGGAAUAUUGCACAAUGGGCGGAAGCCUGAUGCAGCAACGCCGCGUGCGGGAUGACGGCCUUUCGGGUUGUAAACCGCUUUCGCCUGUGACGAAGCGUGAGUGACGGUAAUGGGUAAAGAAGCGCCGGCUAACUACGUGCCAGCAGCCGCGGUAAUACGUAGGGCGCAAGCGUUGUCCGGAAUUAUUGGGCGUAAAGAGCUCGUAGGCGGUUUGUCGCGUCUGCUGUGAAAGUUCGAGGCUCAACCUCGAAUCUGCAGUGGGUACGGGCAGACUAGAGUGUGGUAGGGGAGACUGGAAUUCCUGGUGUAGCGGUGGAAUGCGCAGAUAUCAGGAGGAACACCAAUGGCGAAGGCAGGUCUCUGGGCCAUAACUGACGCUGAGGAGCGAAAGCGUGGGGAGCGAACAGGAUUAGAUACCCUGGUAGUCCACGCCGUAAACGGUGGGCACUAGAUGUGGGGCUCUUUCCAUGAGUUCCGCGUCGCAGCUAACGCAUUAAGUGCCCCGCCUGGGGAGUACGGCCGCAAGGCUAAAACUCAAAGGAAUUGACGGGGGCCCGCACAAGCGGCGGAGCAUGCGGAUUAAUUCGAUGCAACGCGAAGAACCUUACCAAGGCUUGACAUAUGCGGUCUAUCCCUAGAGAUAGGGAGUGCUUCGGCGCCGUAUACAGGUGGUUGCAUGGUUGUCGUCAGCUCGUGUCGUGAGAUGUUGGGUUAAGUCCCGCAACGAGCGCAACCCUCGUUCUAUGUUGCCAGCGCGUAAUGGCGGGGACUCAUAGGAGACUGCCGGGGUCAACUCGGAGGAAGGUGGGGAUGACGUCAAAUCAUCAUGCCCCUUAUGUCUUGGGCUUCACGCAUGCUACAAUGGCCGGUACAAAGGGCUGCGAUACCGCAAGGUGGAGCGAAUCCCAAAAAGCCGGUCUCAGUUCGGAUUGAGGUCUGCAACUCGACCUCAUGAAGUCGGAGUCGCUAGUAAUCGCAGAUCAGCAA
rnacentral:rRNA from 1 species